CGAGAUGCCCUUCUUGAAUGGGUGAUACGUGCCUUAGAUAAGUCGUAUCUUCCCAGGUCAGAAGGGCAUUCUCAUGCUCCCACACCGACCCCGCAACACCAAUUGGUCGGUGGAUCGAG
rfam:Tersicoccus phoenicis strain 1p05MA scaffold3_cov307_read201, whole genome shotgun sequence.